UACGAAGGGGGCUAGCGUUGCUCGGAAUCACUGGGCGUAAAGGGUGCGUAGGCGGGUCUUUAAGUCAGGGGUGAAAUCCUGGAGCUCAACUCCAGAACUGCCUUUGAUACUGAGGAUCUUGAGUACGGGAGAGGUGAGUGGAACUGCGAGUGUAGAGGUGAAAUUCGUAGAUAUUCGCAAGAACGCCAGUGGCGAAGGCGGCUCACUGGCCCGUUACUGACGCUGAGGCACGAAAGCGUGGGGAGCAAACAGG
rnacentral:rRNA from 1 species